rnacentral:rRNA from 1 species
CCUACGGGUGGCUGCAGUGAGGAAUAUUGGUCAAUGGACGAGAGUCUGAACCAGCCAAGUAGCGUGAAGGAUGACUGCCCUAUGGGUUGUAAACUUCUUUUAUAAAGGAAUAAAACGAGGCCCGUGUGCCUUUUUGUAUGUACUUUAUGAAUAAGGAUCGGCUAACUCCGUGCCAGCAGCCGCGGUAAUACGGAGGAUCCGAGCGUUAUCCGGAUUUAUUGGGUUUAAAGGGAGCGUAGAUGGGUUGUUAAGUCAGUUGUGAAAGUUUGCGGCUCAACCGUAAAAUUGCAAUUGAUACUGGCAGUCUUGAGUACAGUUGAGGUAGGCGGAAUUCGUGGUGUAGCGGUGAAAUGCUUAGAUAUCACGAAGAACCCCGAUUGCGAAGGCAGCUUACUAAACUGUGACUGACAUUGAUGCUCGAAAGUGUGGGUAUCAAACAGGAUUAGAUACCCCUGUAGUC